GUCUUUCGAUUCCAACUUUUGUGAUGCAUAAUUUGUUUUUUUCUAAUGAGAGAGGAAGGGUUAGAUAAAUCCAUGAUGGCCGCUUUCCCGCUCAUUCUAUUCCUUUCAUCCUAUUGGUGCUGGUGGCUAUUCUCAGCAGGGGGCGUUGUAAAACCAACAGUCAAUUUAGUCAGUUGGCCUUGCUACCUCUAAAUGAAACGUUCCAUGAAGGUGUCGAGUUUCACUGUGCAAGAUUAGCUAGUUAGUGACCUUGGCAGAGAUAUAAGUUCUGAGGAGAAUAUUUGGUUUAAAUUAGAUUAUUUGCGCUUGCUUUUCUUAUCACUUUCAGGCUUCAGCUCUUUAGGAACUUUUUGACACUUACCCGACACCACACGGUCCGCUAGACGAUGCCUCGUAUAACAUGAUGGAGAGCCACGUUUUCUUGUUUAAGGUAGAACUUUUGUUAGUGUAAUAUUAUCUUGUGUCGGGUUUUUACUUUGAAUUUUACUUGUCGUGGUAGUUUAAAGAUUGUGAUAAUGUCAAGGUCGAAAUAAUGAAGAUUAAAACUAAACGAAUCCAGCACGUUCGAAUGUUUCUAAGUGUUAUUGUGACGGCAACACAUCUGUUUCCAUUUACCACCCUUUAUUCGCCUUGCUUCUCUUAGUCUACAAAUGAACGCUAUAACUAUUUGAUGUUAACAUAUGGGUCAUUUAGGUUUCGAAAUUCUACCCAUUGAUUCUCAUGAUUGCCAACUGCAGCAAUUCAGAUCUGAUGUGUAACCGAGCCUCGUCCGGUGUGUUGCAAUCGUUUCAAUCACUCUACCAGCAUCUGCUUCUUUAUAGGAUUGUAAAUGGCCCUUACUCCUUCUGACGAUAUGCAGAAAGUUACUUGGCUAGUGAAUGCCUUUGCAAGCCACUGGAAAGUUUCGACAGACUCAAACUAGUCUAGUAGACAUUCUCGUGAAAAUGGCAGACCAACUGGCUCAUAAUCCCCUCCAUAAUGUUUUGUCUCCCCUAUCUAUUCAGCCAUCUUCUUGGAUUAAAAACGUCGAGAAGGACGUAAUGAAGACCACCGACUGUUCCGCUUAACAGCAGUGGCAUCUUGCUGCACUUAUUAUC